rnacentral:lncRNA from 1 species
UCCUCCUUCCCGACACUAAUAAUUACAAGAAUAUGAACUAUAAAUUCAUAGAAAUAUAUAUUUUCUUUUUUUGGGUAUUACAAGCAUUGGCUGACCAAUUUCAAUCCCCGAUCACAUAAUAAUGACCUUGUUCGGUUUGAUGGAUCAUACAACAGUAACAAAAAAUAUUAGUUAAAAUCUUGUCUAUUCUACUCGGUAUCCAACCACGCUGAGACAAGCAGCACGGCCAAUUAAAAGUUUUAAUAUUAAGAACCUAACACUAGGUUUCCAAACAUUUAUUCCAUUAUUACAAGUCACUUCUCUAUCUCCACAACGAUAUAUAAAUGUGCAUGAAGCCGCAAUUAUAAAAUCUAUGGAAAUUGAGAAUAGUCCAAGACAAUAUGUCAGUGAAAAAUCUAAUAUUCCAUGCAAUGCUGCAUAUUGAGCAACUUUUCGACUACACUUUUUGUUAUACUAUUGAUGCCAGAUGACCUGAAGAGAUAUCAAUCUCAUUGCCAGGAAGCAAAACAUUUGUGUCCAUGGAUAGCUGACAGCAUCAGAAUAAGAACGCAUGACCCUCCAUUAACGCUUGACCCAUUGGAAGCUCUUUCUUGCUUUGGCUUUACCAGGCUUUUUCCUUUCCACGACUCUUGGAUCCCUCGUGAGAAAACCAGCUGAAAGAAAAUGAUAUACCG